UACGAAGGGGGCUAGCGUUGUUCGGAAUCACUGGGCGUAAAGCGCACGCAGGCGGAUUGAUAAGUCAGGGGUGAAAUCCCGGAGCUCAACUUCGGAAUUGCCUUUGAUACUGUCUGUCUUGAGUCCGGGAGAGGUGAGUGGAAUUCCUAGUGUAGAGGUGAAAUUCGUAGAUAUUCGCAAGAACACCAGUGGCGAAGGCGGCUCACUGGCCCGGUACUGACGCUGAGGUGCGAAAGCGUGGGGAGCAAACAGG
rnacentral:rRNA from 1 species